GUCCUGGCCCUAAACGAUGGGUACUAGGUAGAGGCGGCACCGACGUCGUCCCUGCCGGAGCCAAUGUUUUAAGUACCCCGCCUGGGGAGUACGGUCGCAAGAUUGAAACUCAAAGGAAUUGACGGGGGCUCGCACAAGCGGUGGAGUAUGUGGUUUAAUUCGAAGCAACGCGAAGAACCUUACCCGGGUUUGACAUACACGGAUUAGUCCCCUGAAAGGGGGAUGACACCCUUUAGGGUGGAACGUGAACAGGUGUUGCAUGGCUGUCGU
rnacentral:rRNA from 1 species